rnacentral:tRNA from 1 species
GCCUGGGUGGCUCAGUCGGUUUAAGGGUCUGACUUUGGCUCAGGUCAUGAUCUCAUGGUUCGUGGGUUCAAACCCCACACCGGGCG